AGUGUCGCAUGCGGUUGCGCGUUUCUGCUUUUCAAUUAAAUAAAGGAUAUACUAAAACAAAAUAUCAAACUAACGGAAAUUGUGAGUUAGUGAAAUUCGUGCGUGAGUUGAAAACCAUAUGGCUUAAGUGAACUUUACUAUAAAAAUAUUAAAGUGUAAGAAUGCAGCUUUGUCUUGCUUGAGUUUCCAACAGUGUCACAAUAAUAUAUAUUUAUAUUUCAAAUUUAUUUGGCGACACUUCAGAUAAGUCGUCGUGUGUGCAUCGAAAUGCAAACUACGACUAAAUAUCCGACGCUACUUUACAUCCGCGCGUUGAAUAAAAAAGUGCAAAAAGUACAUUACAUUUGAAUAUAAAGAAUUAAAUUACUGGGUACAAUUCUUUGCGUCUUAUCGCCUUUCGGUCAUUAACAAUCGCUUCGCUAAGAAUAAAUAGAGACUGUUAGCACUGACUUACAUAUAUUGUUUACAUAUGCUCAAAAAAUUCAAAUUCCCACUGAAAGCUUUCAAAGUGUUAAAAAAAUAUUCCGCUCGAAAAUUUCCAUGGAAAAUAUACAUAUAUUUCAGAAGUCGCUCAACAUUUUACCAGUGAAUAUGUACAUUUUUCUUAAUUUGUGGAAUGCAGAAUUAGCAGAAGAUUAGCUUAUCUUCAAACAUAGCAAAACGAAACGAAACAAACCCAGUGGCGCGCAGUUUCGGAAGAUGAAAAAGCGUAAAUUUCAUGGAAGCGUUUAUCAACAAGGGAACGACUGCGCUAGGUGCGGCCUGCUUAUUCGACGACUCGACCUCAUCAGGAGAAACUGACAAUGAAUACAAUAAGGAUGCAGAUGAAAUUGUGCUAUUAACCCAUUACUUCCCAGCAUCGAAAUCAUUGGAAUUUUUUGAUGAAAUUUGUAACUUUGUCCCUUAGUACGUUAAGAAAGAAGAAUAUGAAAUAAAAAAAAUAAAAAACUCCUUCAUUGAUGAAUUAUAUAAAUAGGACACUGGGGAUGGGGAUGGAUUCAUUAGUUUUGGCGAUAAACGGGCGAAUUUUGAUAGCUUUGUCAGUGUUAUCGAUUUUCGAGUUAUCAUUGAAAUGUAAAUAGGACUUAAUUUUAUCAAAACGAUUGCGUGACAUUGAUUGUUCAAUAAAUGGAACGUGUACAUCAUCAUCUCUACACCAGUAAAGUUUACUUAGAGGCGAAUGGUGAUAUGAAGAGAAAAACAAAACUGCUACGAGUAUGAAAACUUUUAACUCAUUCACGCCUCGGCCGCUCAAUGCCAUAUCGUUCGAUCGCUCGCAAUAAUGUGCUACCACUGCACUCAUCAGCAAGCUCUACUUUACCGCCCGGUGCUUAUACGUCCUAUGGGCUUACCCCGACUACAACAACACCAUACCACGAAUCACAUCAUCUCAGCAGCAGCCAGGCCGCGCAUGCCAAUUUGCCAAGCUCAAGCACCAGCGUCGCUUCCUCAGCCAGUCCGCCGCCAUUUCACCGAACGCUGCCGGAACGGCGUUGCAUAGACUGCCGCCACACCACAGUAGCCAACAUCACGCCGGCCAUGCGACGGCAACAAUCGACGAAGAUGGCACCAGUCUCUUUUCGCCACUCUCACCUUGUGCGCCGCUUACCGCUGCCAUGGACAAGGACACUCACAUAUUCGUGUAUAAUGAGGCGAAAGCGAAGAAGACUCGUAAGCGUCUAAUUGCAAACCAUGUUGGCGAAAUUAUGGCUGAGGUACCGUGCCGCUUUUCAAUGAAUGUAAGCGAUGAGGAGGAUGUCAUUGGUUUGUUGGAUGAGGUGGAGCGGCGUCGACGUUGCUCUCGCACUGAUAGAAAGAAAUCCUGGAAGGGGAAGUGGGAGUGGUCGCUGAUGUGUUGAGUAGUGGCGUGGAAGAUGAAAACGGCGAAGAGGAUUAUCUAGAGUUGGAGAGUGGCAAAUGGAUGUCACAGAUAAUAAUUCUGCACAAUUACGCUACAUGAGGCUUCCACUCGCUUGAUGCAAUUAGUGUUUGGAUUAAUGGGGCAGGAGCCGGACACUUGGAUGCUGAUUUAUUAAACAGGACGUUUGGAGUGCUCGUUGGCUGUAAAGUCAUCGAAAGCUGAGAGACCUGCGCAGGUGAUGCAAUUGGCAGCCCACAGAGAUACCAAAAUGUAUGGAUUUAUUUGUGUGAGUCGUCGAUCGCUUUAUGCCAUACCGUUCAACUACUCGUUACAAUGUGCUGCCACCGCACUUAUCAAGGAGCUCAACUUUGCUGUCCAGUUGUAAUAACACCAUACUAUAAAUCACACUACCUUUGCAACACUCGUCCAGAAGCCAGUCCGCCGUAAUAACGCUGGUCCGCUGAGAGGUGGCGCAGAGGAUGAAAGCGGCGACCAGGAUUAUCUGAAAUGGAUGGUGGAAAGCGGAAGCAUAGAGUAAUUAAUUAGCAUUGUUUAUGAAGCUGGAAUCUCAAUGAACUCCAUUUAUGCUCUUUGUGAUCAAUUCGAAGUUUUAUUAUUGGCAUAAAGCAAACCAAAUAAAAUGUGCAUCAGAAGAACUACGAGGAGUUCGCGGCAAUAUACACCCGAUGUUCACUUAAACUUGGUGCGUCAGCAUGCGGCCGUUAUGGAAGAGCUGAUCGGAGAAACCAAUAGACAAACGUAUUUACUUCACUCUAAAUUAACUAUUUUUUAUUUGAAUAAAAAAUGCGCAAAUAAAACUUUGCGCUAAAUUAGUUUUUAAACAAACUGAUCCUUGGAA